CCUAGGGGUCCUCACAUGGACGUUGCGGUCACCACGCCGUUUAGACUGGGGAGUGGGGUAGGGGCUACCCUAGACCUAGGGUAUAAACUCGACCGCCGCCAUAUAUGUGCAGCUCAUGCCCCACGGUCCCUCCUCCCCGCAGACCCAGUGUUCCCCCGCCUUUUGAUUCCCACGGCCAAACGCUCCUCGGCCACCUCUGUGGCGUGAUCCGUCGUCGCUGCGCAAAGCCAUCGCCGCCAGGGUCGCUCUGCCACGUCGCCGACCGGGGCUGAUCCGGGGCCAGUGCGGGGUUCCGGGCGUUCGCGUGGGUGUAACACGAGAGUUCAUGUGACAGUUGGGUCCAGUACUGGCACCGGGCGUCGACGAUUUCUCACCGGAGCACUCAACUCCGUCGUAAAUCCGCCUGGUCCGCGGACAGCUUUGCGCCCACCGUUUUCUCUGGAUCUGAAGAAUCAUUCUGGUACCUGGAAUCUCAAGUCCCAGGCAA